UACGUAGGCAGCGAGCGUUGUUCGGAGUUACUGGGCGUAAAGGGUGUGUAGGCGGUUGUUUAAGUUUGGUGUGAAAUCUCCCGCUCAACUGGGAGGGUGCGCCGAAUACUGAAUGACUUGGAGUGCGGGAGAGGAAAGUGGAAUUCCUGGUGUAGCGGUGAAAUGCGUAGAUAUCAGGAGGAACACCGGUGGUGUAGACGGCUUUCUGGACCGUAACUGACGCUGAGACACGAAAGCGUGGGUAGCAAACAGG
rnacentral:rRNA from 1 species